rnacentral:rRNA from 1 species
AACGAACGCUGGCGGCAUGCCUAACGCAUGCAAGUCGAACGAGACCUUCGGGUCUAGUGGCGCACGGGUGCGUAACGCGUGGGAACCUGCCCUUAGGUUCGGAAUAACUCCCCGAAAGGGGUGCUAAUACCGGAUAAUGUCUUCGGACCAAAGAUUUAUCGCCUUUGGAUGGGCCCGCGUUGGAUUAGCUAGUUGGUAGGGUAAAAGCCUACCAAGGCGACGAUCCAUAGCUGGUCUGAGAGGAUGAUCAGCCACACUGGGACUGAGACACGGCCCAGACUCCUACGGGAGGCAGCAGUGGGGAAUAUUGGACAAUGGGCGAAAGCCUGAUCCAGCAAUGCCGCGUGAGUGAUGAAGGCCUUAGGGUUGUAAAGCUCUUUUACCCGGGAUGAUAAGGACAGUACCGGGAGAAUAAGCUCCGGCUAACUCCGU